UCUAAUAGUACAAUUAAAUUUUAUUGGUUAGUGAUAAGACGUUAUUUUUAAAUUAAAAUAGAGAUUUUUAGGUGAAAUUAAAAUUAUUCAAAAUUUAGGUUUUUGGUUGAUUUCUUUAAAUUCAUUAAUAAACUAGGAUUAGAUACCCUAUUAUUAGAAAUGUAAAUUUAUUACUUUAUAAUUAAUAGUUAUUUUCUUUAAAGUAAAAAAAUUUGGCGGUAUUUUAACUGAUCAGAGGAACCUGUUCUGUAAUUGAUGAUCCACGAUUAUACACACUUAUUUUAAGGUUUACAUAUCGUUGUUUAAAAUAUAUUUAUAAAUUAUAUUUGUUUUUUUAUUAUGAAACUAAUUCAGAUCAAGGUGUAGCUUAUAAAUAAGAAGAAAUGGGUUACUUUAAUUUUAAUUAAGAAUAGAAUUUUUUAAAAAUUUUUGAAUUUGGAUUUGUUAGUAAAUUUUUAUAUAUUUAAAUUUUGAUUUUGGCUCUAAAAU
rnacentral:rRNA from 1 species